UACGAAGGGGGCUAGCGUUGCUCGGAAUUACUGGGCGUAAAGGGCGCGUAGGCGGUGGAUCAAGUCAGGCGUGAAAGCCCCGGGCUCAACCUGGGAACCGCGCUUGAGACUGGCGGACUCGAGUUCGGGAGAGGAUGGUGGAAUUCCCAGUGUAGAGGUGAAAUUCGUAGAUAUUGGGAAGAACACCGAUGGCGAAGGCAGCCAUCUGGACCGACACUGACGCUGAGGAGCGAAAGCGUGGGGAGCGAACAGG
rnacentral:rRNA from 1 species